rnacentral:rRNA from 1 species
AUUGAACGCUGGCGGCAUGCUUUACACAUGCAAGUCGAACGGUAACAGGCCUUCGGGUGCUGACGAGUGGCGAACGGGUGAGUAAUGCAUCGGAACGUACCCAGAGGUGGGGGAUAACGCAGCGAAAGCUGUGCUAAUACCGCAUGUGAUCUGAGGAUGAAAGCGGGGGACCGAGCAGCAAUGUUUGGCCUCGCGCCUUUGGAGCGGCCGAUGUCGGAUUAGCUAGUUGGUGGGGUAAAGGCCUACCAAGGCGACGAUCCGUAGCUGGUCUGAGAGGACGAACAGGCCACACGGGGGGGGAGCAGGGCCAAGGCCCCCAGGGGGGGCGGGGGGGGGGGAUUGUGGGAAAUGGGCCAAAGCCUUGACCAACAAUGGCGGGGGGGGGAAAAAGGCCUGCGGGUUGAAACCCCGUUUUGGGAAGAAACGAAGGGGUGCCCGCAAAACCGGGGCGUAAAUGGGGGCCCGGGAAAAAAAGGCCCGGCCAACCUCCGCC